rnacentral:rRNA from 1 species
UGGGGAAUAUUGCACAAUGGGCGCAAGCCUGAUGCAGCCAUGCCGCGUGUGUGAAGAAGGCCUUCGGGUUGUAAAGCACUUUCAGCGGGGAGGAAGGCGUUAAGGUUAAUAACCUUGGCGAUUGACGUUACCCGCAGAAGAAGCACCGGCUAACUCCGUGCCAGCAGCCGCGGUAAUACGGAGGGUGCAAGCGUUAAUCGGAAUUACUGGGCGUAAAGCGCACGCAGGCGGUCUGUCAAGUCGGAUGUGAAAUCCCCGGGCUCAACCUGGGAACUGCAUUCGAAACUGGCGAGCUAGAGUCUUGUAGAGGGGGGUAGAAUUCCAGGUGUAGCAGUGAAAUGCGUAGAGAUCUGGAGGAAUACCGGUGGCGAAGGCGGCCCCCUGGACAAAGACUGACGCUCAGGUGCGAAAGCGUGGUGAGCAAACAGG